rnacentral:lncRNA from 1 species
CAAAAUAAAAGUAAAUGCAUGCACGUUUAAUUGAAGCUUUUGGUGAUGCAAGUCUUGAUUGUUAUAGAUAAAAGAGGAAGGGAAUAUAGGGCAAUGGAGAAUUUUUUAGUUGUAACAGAAAUACGGAUAGUACACCAUAUGUUUUUAUGUAAGUGGUGAAAAAUUUUAAUUUUUAAAUUAUUAACAUUUUAACACACAUAACCCACAAUUUAUAUAAAGACACAUAGUGUACUAUCUCGUGUGAUGAUCACAUUGAAAAAUAUCUCUAGUGCAAUGACCAGUUGUGCCAUUGACUUUCAUGAACUAUUACGAAGGUGGCGCCACGUCCCCCCCCCCCCCCCAAAAAACAAAAAGAGUAAGAUUUUCUUGUGAAUUGGGUUCGCACGCAUGACCAAUAUCUAACAACAAAUAAUACUAUUGAACACAUUACAAUCAUUUAUGUCAUCGAUGUUGUCACUACAUUUACGAGAAAAUAUCUCCUAGAGACUAGAAUAAUGGUUGUUUGUCAGUAGUUCCAAAAGUUUGGAAACCAUUGCCAGUGACCACUUUUAGAUAUGAUAGUAAGUUAGUAACGCCAAUAUGUUGAUUGGCUUAUUGACCAUGCAUUUUUAUCUUUUUGUGUAUAGGCAAAUAAGAUAUAACUAGGAUUACACUCAUUUCAGUUUUAUAGGAGAUGAUUAUUUUUAUUAAAGCAAAUAUCCUAAUUAAAUUAUAAGACGGAAAUUCGAACUUAGGGUGACAUUGACUUCAUUCCCUAAAAUGUAGGGUGAGAAACUCCCUUACGAAAACAUGAGAAAAAUAAAUACAUUGAACAGUUUACAAACAUUUUGAUGUGCAUUUGCAUAAUUGUGAUUUGUAAAGAUCAUUCAUAUGUAUGUUUAUCUAAAGAACAUAAAUUAAGAAUAAAAAGAAUUUGAAUUAAGUUGGUUGGUGGGGUUUAAAAUGGAAAAAGAAAAAAAUGUUAGUUUAUUUAAGAUAACAUAACUUAAAAGUGACAAAAAUUCUUACCCAAAAGAAAAAAAAUAAGGUUAAAACCAUCCACGACAAUUUCUAAAUUAUAGGUCUUGAAGUUUGAACAUUCGCCGUUCACAAAUCUAAAUUGGGGUGUGAUACCUUUUUUUACUUCUCUCACUCUUUUAAUUUUCGACCGUCGGAUCAGAUGAAUUAAAGAAGAUCAAAAGACAGAAAUUAACAAGAGGUGUGGGAGAAGUAAAAAUGAGUGUGUGUAUAGCACACCCUAUCUAAAUUAUGCCUUUUGGUGGAUCUAAAUAUUAGAUUUUGAGUCAGACGUGUUGAAGUUGAUCAGAGUAGGUUUGAUUUUCUGUUCCCUCUUUUGAAGUUUGGAAGUGAAGUCGUAUGAAUGUAGCUAACCUUCUUCGCCUUACGUGAAACCGCACUAAUGGGUUGGUUUUGCUUUUAUUGAGAAGACAUCAUCCAAUUUUAUGUAAUUUCCCAUCUUUUGCACUUUGAAUUACCUCUUUUUUUUUUAUUUAUUUAUUUAUUUUAUUUAUUUAUGUUUUGAAGACAAAAAUGAAUUGGUGCGAAGGGAUGGCCUACCACUUCAUUAUUGAUGUGGUUAUCUAAGCGUUCAUGUACAUUUUGUUUUUUUUUUCUCCAUAAAUUAUUCGUAUUUUUUUAACAAGGAUAAAUUAUUCGUAUUUAAAAGUUUGUGAAUUUUUAAUUUUAGUAGUUAAUAAUUGUUACAAGAAUUUGACUCUUACUCUAACAUUUCUAUCAAAAUUGAUUCUCAAUAAAAAAAACAAUGGUCAUAAACUCGAUGACAUACAAGAAUCUCUAGUUAAGAAAAAAAAACUUGAAAUUUUUAUUAUUUGACAAAAAUAAAAUUGAAAAGGUUUCUUGUUAAAUGUCUUCAACAUGCAUUUGAGAUUUGAUAUAAUUAUUAUCUUAAUUUCCUUUGUCGCCUGUGUAUUCUUGUUAAUUGUUAUACUAAUUAACGAGAAAUAAAAGUCCAAAAUUAAAGUAACAUUGAUUAAACCAUAAUGUUCAGAUAUUUGUAUACUAAUUUUCCAUUGGAAAUGUGAAGCUGCAUGUGUUCUAUUGCCGACACUCCUUGAACCAAUUAUCCUUUGAGAUCUUUUUCAUCUUUCUUUACAUUGUUAGUAUACUUUUGUGUUUGGGGGAAGAGAACAAAGCCCUCACCGUCAGUCACCAUGCAUGUCACUUUACUAUUUUUUUUUACGUUGUUAGUGGGGGUGGGGUGGGGGGUGGGGGGGUGGGGGGAAGAGAACAAAGUCCUCACCGUCAAUCACCAUGUAUGUCACUUUACUAUCUUUCUUUACGUUCUUAGUGGGGGGUGGGGGUGGGGUGGGGAGGGGGGGGAGAGAGAACAAAGCCCUCACCGUCAGUCACCAUGCAUGUCACUUUACUAUCUGUCUUUUACGUUGUUAGUGUGUGUGUGGGGGGGGGGGGGGGGGGGGGGGGGGGGGGGGGGGGGGGGGGGGGGGGGUGAAGAGAACAAAGCCCUCACCAUCAGUCACCAUGCAUGUCACUUUACUAUCUUUCUUUACGUUGUUAGUAUACUGCAUGUGUUCUAUUGCCGACACUCCUUGGACCAAUUAUCUUUUGAGAUCUUUUCCAUCUUUCUUUACGUUGUUAGUAUACUUAGGGGGUGGGGAGCCGAAGAGAACAAAGCCCUCACCGUCAAUCACCAUGCAUGUCACUUUACUAUCUUUUUUACGUUGUUAGUAUACUUAGAGCAGUUCCAGCGUGGGAACCCUCCUCCCAGGCAAUACACUAUGCUAUCCACUCAAUGAACAGUAACUGCCUUAAUAAACAGUAACCGUUUUUUGCAUCUCCACAGUUACACUUUAAUAGCCCUAACAAUAGGCAAUAAAAUAAUAGUUUUAUUUAUUUAUAAAAUAAUACCAAGAUAAUUAAAAAAAGACAAAGCAAAGAGCAGCAUAUGACUCUCUCUCUCUGUUGAAAUGAAGACCACCAACACAGCCACCACAAACACAAAGCUUAUCCUCCUCCACCCCUAAGCAAUCCACAAACAGUGGAAGCCACCGCCUGUGGCUCUUCUUCUUCUUCACCUUCUUCACCCUCGCAUUCACCCUCACUCUCAUCAUCACCACCAUCCCCCAAACCCUCCCCACCUCCUCCCUCACCCCCACCUCCGUACUCCCCUUCCCGCCCGUCGUCUUGGACGCACUUCUUCACUAUGCCAUUUCAUCAUCAAACACCUCGUCAGCACCCCACAUGUCCUCGCCGGAACUCACAUCCAUAUCCUCCGCCCUCACCCGCCUCUGCGCACCCAACUGCAAUUUCCUCUUUUUCGGCCUCACCCUCUAGAACCUAACAAAAAAAUUAAAAAAUUAAAAAAGGCGUCUGACAUCAGCUAACGUCAGAACCACCUCAGGUGCUCGGGCCAGAACGAAUCCACGGGCCUAGAGCUCGGCCUGCUCGGGCUCCCUCGCCAGCCAACGAUGGACUUCCUCCCUGGGCAAUCAGGUCUUGUGCUGAAGCAUGUCCAUCAAGCAAAAGCUCCCGCUGGAGCUGCUCUUAGGGGGGAGCUGAAGAGAACAAAGCCCUCACCGUCAGUCACCAUGCAUGUCACUUUACUGUGAAUAAAAAGAAAAGCUGGUAGUUCAACUAAUCUCAUAAAAUUUGUCAAUUUUCAAUAAAAAAAAAAGAGGGGGGUUAGUCCUAAGUUUUCUUGAAACAUAAGUAUUGUUGUGCAUCAUAUUAGGGUAUAUACUACACUUACUUACCACAUAUUUGUAUUAUCUAUCUAAUAGAAGAAAUGGCACGUAAGGCCGAUAGCGGCCCCUAGAAAUUAAAGUCUUGCAUGGAACUCAAUUGUCAGAGAAGUCGUUUGAGUGCCCUCACUUUUGCGAUUACUACUACUACUAAGAAUCUUGUACCACUAUAUGAAAAUUUAUUAAAUGACGAGAAUAACUUGUAUGAAAUAUGUAUACUGUCAUCAUGAUGUCUCAAUUUCAUAAUGUAAUGUCGUAUGAAAGAAAAUUUUGCACAUAACAAUUUAUUAGACAAAAACAUCAUGUGAUAAACAUAUUCGACGUAAGUCUUCUCCGAUAAUUUAGCCAUGGUACCAUGAUGACAUUUCAACUUUUAUCUUUGAAAAAUAAGAGUAUAGGACCCCAUUUCGUCUUGACCUUUUCUCAAAAUACUGUACCAUUCUUUUGUCCGUGAGUCUCUAUUGUGGUCAGCAUACAACAGCUGUUAUUAAUUACUGUAACCACAUACUCGAGUUGACAUCGAUCAUUCCUGCCAGUUGCCAGACAAAAUUAAUGGAAACUUAGAUUGUUUUAACUGUACGAGAUAUUUUCUGAGUGUGUGUACUUUUAAGUUUUAAUCCAUUUUAAUUUGUGUCAUUUUUUUAUAAACAAAUGAUAUUAUUUAUAUUUAAAAAGAAUAUGAGUUUAGUCUCAUAAUGAGCUAUCAAUAAUAUGGUUCAAAUUCGUCUUUGACAAUAAUCGAACUUGAGACGAUUCAAAUUCGCAUUUGACAAUAACCGAACAUGUGAUCUAUUACUUACAAGUGCAGAGGAAUACCACUAGAUCGUAGUAUUAAAUGAUAAUUGAAUAUGUGUCAUUGAAUAAUUAAGGGAGUGAAAAUUCUAUGUGUAUAACUAUAAGGCGUGGGUCGGAAGAAGGAUUUUAUAUCGAUAGCGUCGAUAUCAGUAGUGUCAAUAAUUGUAUCGAUAAUUAUGGUGUACUAAUAACUAUACAUACGUUGACAUAUAUUUUCAUCAGUACUUGUGUUGAUGUACAAAACCGGAAGUCUUGGAACAACGUAAAUCCGACCGUGAAUCUACAUGUAAUGUAAAUAACAUAAGAUGUAUCGUGGUUCACCCCAAGGUUUGGGCUACGUCCACACUGAUAUUGUAUUUAUCUGAGAGGUGAGGGAGAUAACCUCUGAAUAUGAGAGGGGAUUGAGAGGGGUGAGAAGGCUUCAUAAAUGGCCUCCUCUAAUUGUGAGGGUGAUGGGUCAUUUUAUAGAAUAAGGACUUCUCACUUAUUACAUAUUUGCCCAUUCCUUUAUUACAUAAUUACAUUUAAGUCCCCUGAGUAUUUAUACGAGGUCUAAAUACGAGGCCCUAAAUAUGGUAUAAACAGUAGUCCCCCAAGUCUUCAGUCAAGAGAGUCUUUUGGCUGGAGACUUGAAAUUCAGUCCAUGUCCAUGUGUGGGCCGAAGUAACUAAAUGUUGUCUUGAACUGAUGUUCGAUAUGAGGCGGUGCUCAAUCUGAAAUGAUGCUCAACUAGAAGUAGCAUAUGUUGCAAGGCUGCUCGGCUUGUGGUUUAUGUUGCCUUGGUUGACUCGGCUUGUAGCGCUUGAAGGUGAGGGAGUCCCUUUUAUAGAAUAAGGGUUCGCUCAUCGAUACAUAAAUGAUGGGCUAGAGUUGAUGCUCGCGGCGAGGCGGUUGCUCAGUAGGCGGCGAUGCUCUCUAAUGAUGGUGAGGGAGUCCCUUUUAUAGAAUAAGGGUUCGCUCCUCAAUAUAUGAAUAAUGUGCUAGAGUUGAUGCUCUCUAAUGAUGGUGAGGGAGUUCCUUUUAUAGAACAAUGGUUCGCUCCUCGAUACAUAAAUAUGGGCUGGAGUUGAUGCUCGCGGCGAGGUGGUUGCUCAGUAGGCGGUGAUGCUCUCUAAUGGUGGUAAGGGAGUCCCUUUUAUUAAAUAAGGGCUCGCUCCUCAAUAGAUGAAUAAUGUGCUAGAGUUGACGCUCUUUAAUGAUGGUGAGGGAGUCCAUUUUAUAGAAUAAGGGUUCGUUCCUAAAUACAUAAAUAAUGGGCUAGAGUCCCCCACUGCUUUGUUCCCCUAAUACUAAACAUCUGAAACAGAAGAUUUUAUUUCAUCACUAACGUUUAUUCUUUGGGCUUCUCAUUUGUAACAGGAUACCGAUGUUGUGUGGCUAAGGGACCCCUUCAAAAAACUAAGCAAGAACGAAACAGAAGAUUUACAAAUGAGUACAGAUAUGUUCUUCGGGGAUCCUUGGAACGCAAGUCAGUUGAUCAACACUGGCUUCUACUACGUCAGAUCCAAUAGCAAGACCAUAGCACUGUUUGAUAGAUGGUACACCUCCAAGGACAAUGCCACAGGACUGAAAGAGCAGGAUGUCCUAUUGAACUUAUUCCGAGGGGGUAUUACCGGGGAGUUGGGACUUAGGGUAAGGUUCUUAGACACCCUCUAUUUCAGUGGUUUUUGCCAAAACAGCAGGGACUUCGGGCAAGUGAGCACGGUCCACGCCAAUUGUUGCCGGAGUAUUGUCGCCAAAGUUAAGGACUUGAAAGCCGUCCUCCGGGAUUGGAAACGGUUCAAGAGGUUCAUGUCCCACAAGAGGAGUUCUGGUACUAGUACGACGAGUUUCCAAUGGACUGGGCACUUUGGAUGUUGGAAUUCCUGGGCUGUUCCCAAUUAACUCUGGUAAUGCAACUCAUAAGACAUGAAUUUUUCUUUUUUUUUUUUUUUUUUUUUUUUAAAGAAGACGUUAGUAAAGAAGGAGAAGGGUAAAUCAUACGAGAAGGAAAUAGUUUUCUAUCUUAUUUUUAGAAAGUUCAGGUGAAGGAAGGGAAUAAUUGAACAGUGUCGUUUAAAAUUUGAGGAUAAAUGCUCUACCAAUAGAGUUAUAUAUGCCCCCACAAAGUAGUUCGAUAAAUUCAAAUUUAUGUCUCCUUAUUUUUUUUUUUUCUUUCAAGAUUAUCAAAAUAAAUCUGUAUGCGAUUCAAAGGUAUGUUUCAAAAAAUGUAAGUAGCAUAAAGGAUUUAGAAUGUCUUAAUAUGGGUUUUCUUAGCAUAUCGUGUAAUUUUUAUUAAUUGGUUUGAACUCAAAUGGCGCACAUUUAUCAAUCAUAUUGUACGGUUCAUAUUACUAAUGUGAUUCUUGUCAAAUAUUGUAUGAAUAAAUGUUGAAAUAUUGCAUUUUUAUUUUGUGGUUGGAGCACAUGAGUACUACCAGACCUUCGCAAAUUGAACUUUUUCUUCAUUAAGGUUUUGUAAGAUCUAAAAAUAAAGUAAACUGUGGAUCUCUCCCUUAAACUUUCACCUAACUUUUAAUUUACCCCCUAAACUUUUAAUUGGAAAAUCAAGGACUUAAACUAAUUUUUUGGUUGAUUUCCCCCUUGCUGUUAGUUUUUCAUUCCUUUUCCAUCCAUAUUUCUGUUAAAUGAAAUCAUGUGCACAACAUAUGAGGGUAGUUUGGUCGCUUCAUUAUUUUAAAUAAUUGAAAACCCUAGAUUUCUAAAAUGCCUACCUGUGCAAAUCUGUGUUAUUCUAUAGUUUUUGUGUCUGAAGGUCUAGCGAAGUGUUGUUUUUGUUCUCCAAGGAGAGUCAUGUGAUGUGCACGUGAUAAGAGUUAACAUUAAUUUGAAUGAAAUCUAUGGAAAAAUAACGGUAGGGAAAAUCAGCCAAAAAAAUAGUUGAAGUCCUUGAUUUUCCAAUUUAAAAGUUUAGGGGGGUAAAUCAGAAGUUAGCUAAAAAUUCAAGAGGAAAUCGGCAGUUUACUCCUCAAAAAUAUUAAAAUGCAUACUCUUGAGAUAAAAUGGUGUAAAAGUUUGUAAAUAUUAAGUGUUCAUUGUUGAUCAUGUAUUACUUUAAGAGUUGCUUUUACAUUUUUUUCUUUUUAUUUUGUAUUGCAUACUUCAAAAGUUGAAAAUACCAUCCGAUAACACUCAACGAACUUCAUUUCAAGUUAUUUACCUUUUUUUGUCACUUAGUAUUAAAGUUUAGUGAUACUUUUUUCCAUUUAUACGUAAAAGGUCUUAAGUUGGAUUGUCACAAAAAACGAAUUCAAACUAAAUUAAUAUAGCUAGCUCGUCGUGAGGUUUAACCACUCAUCCACCAAAAAAGUUAUAUACCGUCCUUAAGCUCUCUAAAGUUCUCAUUUUUUAAGGAUCUUUAAUUUUAACCCAAUCAAAACCUUUCUCAAAUUUGAUAUAUUUUGGAAUAAGUAGUCCAGACUUUAGACUUUGCAUUGCAGUUUUUGUUAUGUAAUUAUGAGGAUACAGACUUUGCCUCAUAGUUUCUGUCUUAUUGUAGUCGAACUAGUCACAUCUUAUGUUGAAUUUUAAAAUGAGUAUCGACUAUUUUAAUUAUUCUUCUCAUUUUUUGACUUCAUCAUAUGCCAAGUUUGUGAUGCAAAUUUUGUAUACGACUGAUUUGACAAAAUUUUACCUACAAGAGAACAAACAUUGUUAGUCUAAUUGACAAAUACCUCGAAAUAAAUUUGGAAGGUGUGCACCAAAGUGUAUACGAUGCCUAAGUAAGAAAAGUUGUAAAGAGAAAAGAGAACUUAAAAGACUUCUGAGUAGUAAGUGGUUACUAUGGUUUUCUCUGUUUAACCUGACUAUUUAUAGAGAUCUGAACCCUAGUAGGUAACUGGGAGGGGAGGUUGCAAACCAUACUAGGCAGUCUUUGAUGGUGCAUGUCAGUCGUUAUAGUCAUGCCAGCUAGUAAUCCUGAAGAUCCCUGUUGUAGGGCGCCUAGCGUAUUGGACACCCAAGGAGAGACUCCGAAGGGUUAGCUUCUUGCCACCAUUGGGUUGGGUAUGGCCCGAUGGCAGGACAUAAUAUGGGCUUGAAGCACCUGUGAUAUGGUGGUGGCCUAAAAGCCUAUUACCCAUAGAGUAGACUAAUGUCACAUUCCCUUGAGGUAAUAUGUGUAUGCUCAAGAUGUUAAGACUGUCAUAGUGAGUAUAUAGUCCACAUGGUAAAACCGUCAUAGGGAGUAUAUACUCCACGUGCCCUCCUAUUAGAUGUGAUUAAUUUAUGUUUCUAUAAAUACCCCACAUAUGCUUGAGUUUAAGUGGGAAACAAAAAGAGAUGUAGUUCCUAUUUGUAGAUUUUUUUUUUUGUCUUUCUUUAAGGAUUUAGCUUAAAUAAGAGAUAACCCUUGCUGGAAUUCUCACAGAUUCCUUACUUUAAAAUUCAGGCUUUGCGUAGAGAAUUCAUAGAGAAAAUUUCAAGUAUGAAAAAUUUCCCCCUUCUUCUUCCCGUCCUCGAUGAUGUUGCCUCAACUCAACAUGCCUAGUCUGUUGCUGCUUGCUGUGCGUGCUGAAGCGCGCAGGUGAAGCCGGAUAACUAUGGAGUUAGGGUGCGACUUGAAUGCGACUCAUUGUGCAAUCGGAUCACGAGGAAAUCGUAGAUAUGGUCCCUUAACUUUAACUUAAUUGGAGCAAUGAUCCCUCAACUAAAAAUCCAUUACCAUUGGUCUCUCAACUCAUCAAAACGUGCAGCUAUGGUCCCUCAACUAAAAAUCCAUUACCAUUGGUCCCUCAACUUUAAUUCAACUUGAUAAAUGGUCCCUUAACUUUAACCCAAUUGUAGCAAUGGUCUUUCCAACAUAACUCGUUUUGACAAAAAAUUUGAUGUAGUUGACGAAAAGGACUAUAAUUACACACUUUGAUGAGUUGAGGGACCCUAAUUAUAUAAAUGGUUAUUCCAACAUAAUUUAUUUUGACAAAAUUUUGACGAAAUUGAUGAAAAGGACUAUAGCUACACAUUUUGAUAAGUUGAGGGACAAAAUGGUAAUGAUUUUUUUAGUUGAGGGACCAUUGCUACAAUUUACUCAUCGGACCACUAAUUGGGUCGGUUCGGCUAUAGAAUUUUUUUUCGAAUUUGACUGUUCUUCCGAAUUCAAUCCAACAUCAAUCCAUCUCCAUCAUUAUUAUCAACAAAAGCCAUAUUGGAUUAAAUUAAGAUCUUGUGAGCAAUUUUUGAAAUUUCUUCGUUUCUUUGGUAGGUAAAGCAAGAUGUUGUCUUCCAAGAAAUCAUGGAAAUCAUACAUCACAAAGAUGCGUGACAUCAAGUUAGAUAGAUAGAUGGACAGUUUCCACUUCAUUUCAUAUUCUAGUCGAUGUAACUAUGUUUGAGUUUUCAACACAUUACUUCUUAAUGUCAGCUCUUGUAUAGAAUAGAUUCUGAUCAAGCGGAAAAAGCCCUAUGUUAUUAAUAAGCUAGCACGCCCCUUUCUUUCUCCAAGUCAAGUUUCUCACUUGUUAGUCUUACCCUUACCUUUAUUUAUGGGAUAUUUGAAGAAUCACAUGUUUGGAAGUUAAUCAAACCCCAACUCUCUCAUUUCACACCCUUAUUAACAGUGCUAGGGUUAUUGAUAAACCCUGCGCAAAUGUCCUAUUCUUCAACAGACUAUCACCUGGGGCAAUGUAGAACCUUGAUUGAACCUGAAGCAGCACACUACAUUGUAGACUUUUAUGAAAUAGGAUGCAUGUGAGCGGGCAUUUCAAAUUUUUUGUUCAGAGGCUGGCUAUAUAUUUCUAACGUGCCCUAGGUCAAUUGUGACCUGAUUUCUACUGCCUUCCACCAAUGCCGCCACCAUCACCACAUACAUCAACCUAGCCACCAUGGCAACCAACAAUUCCCUUGUUUGAACCACCAUCACUCCCACCACCCCAAUAUGUUAAUUGCAUCCAAAACCUCUCACUAUCAAUGCUACCACCACCAACCUUCACCAUCAUCGUCAGCGCCACCACCACUCUGCUACCAUUACCACUCUCUCCACCACUCCCACCACCAAUGUCGUUUCCCUUCCCACAUUGCCACCAUUUAUACCCUACCAUCAUCGCACUGUCAUUGUCAUCACUACUACCACUAUCACCAUCACCACAGGCACCCUAACCAUCGUGGCCACCAACACCAUCCCUUAUGCAACCACAAUUUCAUCGUCACCAUCGCCACCAGCUUCAAAUUUAUACUACAAUACAUUAUUAUCAAAAUCAAAAUUACCGUUAGACCUACUCUAACCCUUGGAGUAAAACUCAAAUUUUAGGUUCUAAACUUACUUCAACCCUUGGAGUAAAACUCAAAUUUUAGGUUCUAAACUUACUUCAACCCUUGGGGCAAAUAUGAGUUUUAACCAAAAGCUCAUUUUUGAGGCAAAUUUAGCCCAUGAUUCCCCUGGGUUAGUGGGGCUAGGCCACCAUAUGUGUGUAUUUUUUGUAGUUUUAUAUUUAUAAAUUCAUUGAAUCCAACGAUUAAGAUCUAAUAUAAUCGAAUCCAACGUUAAAAGAAAAUAUCUAUUAAAUCCAAUAGCUAACGUAAUUAAAAAAAAAUUAUGUGUUUCAUAUUCUUUCAUAGUGUUCCACGAGUUUCAUAGUGUAGGUUUGGUGAUUUUUUAAUAUUCAUCGGAAUCUAAAUAUUUUUAGUUUAAAAUGUUUAUAAAUUAAAUUAAGAUAAUCUACAUAAUUUAAAAAAAAUUACUUUAAGAAAAAAAAUAUCCUAAAUUUAUUCUUUAAUAAUUUCGGGCUAAAAAUUUAACCCAUAAUGGUGAGAGGAGAAAAACUGACACACCCCGACCCGGAAUGUCCACUAAGACUUUGAAUCGAGCUACACUGACCGACACCUGGGAGGUGACGAAGCCAUACAGUGUUAUGAUGUGGGAAAAUGUGAAUAAAAACUUAAGAGUGCCUAAAUACCAGAGUGCAUAGGUGAGCGGGAAUGAACCCACUUCACACAUGACGUUAGAGCAUAAGUAAGUACAAUUAAGAAUCGUACCCUUGAAAGAAUCUCCAAUACUAAGAAUUGCCACGAACCUUCGACGAUAAGAAAGCUCAGCUAAUAAAACCUGGAUGGUGAAAACAAGACAAGGGUGGGUGGCCUUAGAAAUAACAUUUUAAUAGAAACCGUAUAAAACAUUAUAACCCCUCGUUACAACACUUAUAUAGUUUCCAGAAAAAUCAUACCACGUAUCAAUGUGAAAUCAAAAGUAUAUCAACAGUAAAUCCAUAAAUAUACCACAACACCGCAUUUUAUCAGCAAUAUCAAUAAUCAUGUGAUUAAUAAUCCAUACUAGCACGCAAGUCGGAGUCACCUAUAGUGACCUGUACGACUGCACCCAUAUCUCAUCAAUCAAUGCUAGCACAUAAGUCGGAGUCACCUAUAGUGACAUGUACAACUUAUCCAUAUCUCAACAAUCAAUGCUAGUUCAUAAGUUGGAGUCACCUAUAGUGACUUGUACGACUUAUCCAUAUCUCAUCAAUCAAUGCUAGCUCAUAAGUUGGAGUCACCUAUAGUGACCUGUACGAUUUAUCCAUAUCUCAACAAUCAAUGCUAGCUCAUAAGUCGAAGUCACCUAUAGUGACCUGUACGACUUAUCCAUAUCUCAUCAAUCAAUGCUAGCUCAUAAGUCGGAGUCACUUAUAGUGACUUGUACGACUUAUCCAUAGCUCAUCACAUAUCCCUGCACACGAGUCAGAAUCAUCUAUAGUGGUCUGUACGACAGGAUUUUGUGUAAAUAAAUACGCUUCAGUGCUACGAUCACGUGAAGACUGUGAGAAUAAACGCGGGUCACCAACGAGUUGGAACCAUCUAUAGUGGUCUGUAUGACAUGAUUGUGCACCUACCUUGGAUCUAAGGUGAGCGUAAGGUGCGGGAGGUGAACAUCACGUGAAUGACUGUGCCUUGGCCACGGGCGGGAGCACUAACACCGGGGUGCAGGUUUAUGAGCUUUACUUGCAUCUAUUAUAUUAUGUACGCCUCAUGGGCAACCUGUACGACAGUGUCGGAGUUGCCUAUCAUUGCAAUAUGUACGACAAGGUCGGAGUUGCCUAAAACAUACACAUAGUCAUGCCAUAACUCCCUCAUUUCCACUAAUACCAUAAACUCACCUGAACUUACCUGGGUGUCCUGUGUUCACCUUUGCACUUCAAAACGUUCAAAAUAAUUACAAGCAAUAAAUAUACAUAUAAAUAUACCAUGAUGCAAUCUAAUACUCAAUCAUGUCAUAGCAUUUACAAUUAUAUAUAUAUAUAUAUAUAUAUAUAUAUAUAUAUAUAUAUAUGUAUAAUAUGGCAUAAAAUGCAUAAGCUGUAACACCCUACUCCCGAACUAUUUAUUUUCGGAAAUAAUAUGGCUCAACUAAACAUUAAUUUAACUAACUAUCAAUAGUUAGGAUUCUUUACUUCAAUUUCUCAAUCCUUCACACAAUGAUUUAUAACCAACAUCCCAUCACUAAAUCAUAAGGAUAAAUCUCACAUUUUCCACCAAUGUCCCUCACAUUGCACAAUUUCCCAAAGAAGGCUAUUGUCUCAAUUAAUUAGUCUCAUUUAUAGUAUGGCUGCAUCUAACGUCUCGUUAGACUGCCUACGUACCCUAACAGGGAUCAAGCCAUUCGUAGUUCGCAUUACUACUUCAAAGCAUUCACAGUAAUUAUAUGCAAUAAUCAAUUUAUAAACAUUUGUGGAAUUGUCAAUCAUAUAUAUAUAUAUAUAUAAAAUAUACGAUAGAAAGGAAAAGACCCACUCACCUGAGGUCCGCGCUACGACUCCCUAGCAUGCAUAUCGAGACAUCACGAACUAUCGUUGCCUAUGACCAAUUAUCAAAUCACAUCUCAGAGUUCUGACCGAUGGAAUACAUAAUUUACAUAAAACACAUCACUACGUAAUUCAAUUUGAAAGAUCUGCAUCACAUAUUUCUGAUCCGUUGCUUCCAAAGAUCCACAUUAUACUUUUAGAACAACAUCCUACAGUUUCAUUAAGAUCCAACGGUCAGAUCUCCGCCAAUUGCCAAAACCAAAUGGUGGUCAACAUUUUAUUUUAUGAACUUAUAAAUCCAAUUCGGAAAGAUCCGUACAUCAAAUUCCCGAUCCAUAAGUUUUUAUGGUCCUCAAAUAUUACGUACUAAUGUAUCAAAGUUUGGUGACGAUCGAACGGACGAAUCAUCGAUUCAUAUAAAUGCCAAGCGAUGUAUCAUAAUGAAACUAAGUUCAAACAAUCAAACCACAUCAUAUGGAUAUCAAUUAUGACAUACAUCUAAUUGAACUUAAAAGGACAUCGUCGGUCCACUGGCUAGGCCGUCGCCGCACGUGCCGCCGCGCGUGGUGGUUGGCCACCACGGUUCGCCGGAAAAUUCCACUAUUUCUAAAAAUUCUCAAAUUUUACAGAAAUGAAGAUCUUAAGAGAUGAACAACUUUCAUACCUACCACGAAGUCCAAAAGUGGACGGAAGAUGGUCAAUUUUUCCCACAAAGCCGGCGGUGCCUAAAACUUCUCGGCGUUGAUUCCUCGUCUACGGUGGACCAACGGGGUCAAGGUUGGUUGGGAUUUGCUCCUGGGAUGAUGGGCUACAAAGCCCAAGUGGUGGCAUAGGCCAUCGCUUUGCUGAUUUGUCAAAAAAUUGAAAAGAGUGGCCAGACACGGUUUUGAUGGGUCGGAUUUUGUGGCUUCGCCCCGCCACAUGUGGUGGUUUCUAAAGGUGGUUCUUGGGUGGGUUUUGUAGAGGGGAAUGAGAGCUUCAAGAUGGUCAUGGUGGGGUCAAAAAACUCCAACGGAGUUUGCCGGAAUCUGCCUUGGAAGAUGGGUGGUCGUAAUGGGUGUGGGUGUGGGUGCACAGAAAGCUGGGAGCUUUCCCUUUUUGGUUUUCCUUCUUUUCCUAAUUUCUGAUUGGGCUGUUGCCCUCUCCCUCUCUCUAAUUGGAUCAUUGUCCCUUUAAUUUAAUUGGUCCACUAUUCUCACCUGGUGGGAGUUCAAAAUUAACUAACAAGUAACCAAUUUCAAAUAUCCAUAACGAUACCGUUAUAAUCCGGACUCGCAAACGGCGACUACGCAAAUACGCCAAAAGAAUAAGUCAUACUUUUUUCUAGACGAUGGUCAACAUAAAUCAAAAUCAUUGCCUCUAAACAUUUUUGUCAAUUCCCUCGAUUAAAAUAAAUAAAAACGAAAUUUUAGGGACGGAUUGUCACAACAAUUGUUUUUGGGUUAUAAAAUUUAAAUUUUAGCCUAAGGGUUGAAGAUGAUUUUAGUACUAGACAUGUUUCUAAUAUUUUCUUUUUGAAAAAUAAUUUUUGAAUUAAACUACCACAAAUUUUCUAUUCAUAAAAUGCAAAAUUCUUUUGUUGUUUCGUUUUGUAUAAUAAAAUUCAUCAAAAAAAAAAAAAAUAUAUAUAUAUAUAUAUAUAUAUAUUUUUUUAAACUUUACGAAUUGCUUCAUACCAUGCCAAGUGUGGUAUGGUUAACUGUUUAUAAACGGUUAUGGGUAUGGGUAUAACCGUUUAUGCAAUUACCCAACGCAUAAAUAGUUAUGCGGGUAUGAAUAUAAACGGUUAUGGGCAAAUAACCGUAGUUACCCGCCCGUCAUAACCAAUGCCCAUCACUACAAGUGUCCCAUGUCCCCAACUCACAUUGUCCAACCAAUUACUAAUUCCCACGUGUCAAAUAAUUCACUCACACUAACAAUCCCUGUCCAAGUAUUUACACCCAAAGUACCUCCUUUCCUUUCGCAUAUAUAUGCCCACAAAUCCCUCAGCCUUAACCCGCAAGGUCGCAAUUCUAUCUCCACCUUUCUUUAAUUAGGGUUUUGUUUUGGUCUUCGUCUCCUCACUUUCUGUUUCUAGGGUUUUGUUCGAUUCGCAAUUACGCAAUCUAGGGUUUUCACUGCAAUUAUCUCUCUAUAAAUAGUAUACAUUGAAAUAUUUCAUCUUUCGGUUCGGAUCCUAUUAGAAUUCUGAUUCCUUCUAUUCUGCAACUGUGAUCGUGGAGUUAGGUUUUCUGAAUCGUUCCUUGUUUGAUUCUUGAAAAGGGUUUUUUAUUUUGGGUUUGAUUUGGGGAAUUUGUGGAGUUUUGGAGAAUUUGAUUGGGGAAACCAUGCCUCCGAGGACGGUGAAGAGAGGUGGGGCGGCGGGAGCGAAGAGGACGACGAGAGUCACCAGGGGGACGCACAAGGCCCAGAACCAGGUCCAGCCUGAGGCUCCAGAUGAGUUGGUGAAGGCCGAGGAUGCGGUGCCGAUGGUGGAAUCUAAAGAGGAUCUCAAUGUUGAAGAGAUUAAGGAGAAGCCAAUUGCGGCGGACAAGCUCGUGGCUGUCGAGGAGAAGCCAGUUGUUGAUGAAAAGGCAUCCGUUAUUGAUCAGUCAGGGCCUUCAGAGAUGGAAGUUGAAGCGAAAGCAGAGCAGAAAGGAUUAAAAAGUAAGUUUUGUUUUCAUUAUGUAAUUUUGUUGGGGCUUGAUUGAAUUAAGUAAUUUGCUCUUGAUUUUCCACUGCUCUAUGUUUUUGCAUGAUUUUAUAUAUGUUUUAAGGGACUGUGGUAAUAAUGCUUAAUCUUUUGUCUAUAAUGUGGUUUUUGUUGUGGUAAAAGGGGUAGAGAAUGAGUAACAUUUUCUCAAUCAAAUUUCUUGUAUAUUUAAUUUUCUGUUAUGUGGGAUGUUGUAUAGAGCUUAGGGAAACAAUAAAACCAACUAAGGGAAAUAAUUUAGAAAGAUUCCGAAGAAUAAAUGUCUACACAGAAAUCCAUUGAGGAAUACGUUUUUGUAAAUCUGGUAAUGCUUGCUCUUCCAUGCACUUUGGUGGCUUUAAAUAGAAGUGGCCAACUUGUUCUUUCAAGAACAAUUAGUUCUUGAGUGGAGCGUAGAAGUCGGUGUGAGCGUAGUGGAUUGUUAACUUAGUUCUUGCUCGGUUAUGUGUCAAAAAGUUGGUUAAUAUAUGGAUCAAGGAUGACAGUAUAAACAGUGUAAGCAUGGAUCAUACUCUUUCCUCUUUGUUUUUAGCUCAGACUGGUUUAUGUGAAGAGCAUAGACGGGAAGUUUAAACCUUCUAAGUGGGAUCAUACUGUUGUGACUGAGUUUUGGAUCAAUUUUGUGUUUAGACAUUGUUUCAUAUGCAAGCAUUAAGUAUAGAAUGACACUUCAGGCAUUGUAAAAGUAGAUCAUGCCUUUUUUUGGGGAUCCGUUAUGUAUUAAUAUAAUCAUGGUAUUCUUUGUACUGUGUUUAUCUGCGAUGGACAAGGACCGUCUUAAUUAAAUUAUGAACUCUGCUUGAUCAUAAUGUAGAACUUGAGUCUCUUUUAACUUAAGGUAUUGUCAACCGUAAUUUAUCGCAGAACAAGAUAAGGUUAAGGAGUCUAUAGAUGAUUAUGAAAAAGAUGAACAAUUAGAGCUGGAGGAUAAUGAAGCUGAGUAUGAACCUGAAGAAGAUGGUGGGGUUGAUUAUGAUGAGAAGGAAAUGGAACAAGAGGAUAUCCAGGAGCUCGGGGAUGAAGGAGAUGAAGAACCUGAGGAGAUUGUAGGUGAAGAAGAAGGUGAUAUGGCUGAGGAAGAGUUGGAAGAUGGCCACGAAGAACUCGAGGGUGAAGAGUUUGAGGAGCAUGCUAGCGAGGAGCAUGAGCAUGAGCAUGCAGAGAUGGUUGACGAGGAAGAGGAGCACCAUGAAGUUGUAAAGGAGAGACGGAAGCGCAAGGAGUUUGAAGUAUUUGUUGGUGGUCUAGACAAGGAUGCAAGUGAGGCUGAUCUUAGGAAAGCUUUUGCUGGUGUUGGUGAAGUUACUGAGGUCAGGCUGAUGAUGAACCCUCAGACUAAGAAGAACAAGGGAUUUGCGUUCUUGCGUUUUGCAACUGUGGAACAAGCAAGGCGAGCAGUUGCGGAGCUUAAACAUCCAGUGGUAAUCUUUGAUCCUUUCGUAGUUCGAGCAGAAACUGGUUUCUUCAUAUAUUAAAUUCUAUUCUCUGAAUGAUUGCAAUUCCAGAUUAAUGGAAAACAGUGUGGUGUUACUCCAAGUCAAGACAGUGAUACUCUUUUUCUGGGUAACAUAUGCAAGACAUGGACAAAGGAUGCUGUAAGUAUAUUGGCUUACAUCAUUUCAAAAUUCUCUGACUUAUCAGGAGAUGAUUAAAAAUUUCUGACUUCUUUUGAUGGCUGUGGUUUCAGUUGAGAGAGAAGUUGAAACAUUAUGGAGUAGAUAAUGUUGAGGGUCUGACAUUGGUUGAAGAUACUAACUAUGAGGGAAUGAAUCGAGGCUUUGCUUUUUUGGAAUUUUCUUCUCGUUCAGAUGCCAUGGAUGCUUUUAAGCGACUUCAAAAAAGAGAUAUUGUGUUUGGAGUUGAUAGGCCUGCAAAAGUUUCUUUUGCAGAUUCCUUCAUUGAUCCUGGUGAUGAAAUCAUGGCACAGGUAACGUAAAUUUUCUGCUAUAUUAUAGGAACAAUAGGAUUCCUGGAUGGGUUAUCUUUCUGAUGAUCUGUUCUUGUGUUUUGGUGUAUGAACGUAUACAAAGGUCCUUGUAACAUCAAUUUUUUCCAUGAGUGUAUGGAGUCCUGGAUAAAUUCUCUGUUGUGCUCUUUUUUUAUGUUAUGGGAGAUGAUAGAGUUACAAUAUGCCCAUUGAUGUUCUCUUGUACAAGUAAUUUUUCUAGUUUGUUGACAAAUUAGCAUAUAGCACCUGUAACAUGUUGAAUUAGAUUCUUUGGAGUUGUUUUUUGGGUAGCAUUAUCUUAAUUUCGUGUUACUUGUUUUCUAAAAUCUUGUUAAUCUUUUCUCCUCAAUUGACUAUGAUAAAGUUAGUUAAGUAUGGGAAAGCAAUUGUGAUUGUGUUUCUUUGAUAUAGUGUUAUUAUGCAGUUUAGAGGAGUUUAGGUGAUUGUUGGAGCUGCUGACUAAAUAUCUUGAGAUGCAGGUCAAAACUGUGUUUGUUGAUGGCCUACCUGCUUCAUGGGAUGAGGACCAUGUCCAAGAUCUUCUUAAGGAAUAUGGGAAUGUUGAAAAGAUUGAGCUUGCGCGGAACAUGCCCUCUGCUAAGAGGAGAGAUUUUGGUUUUGUUACAUUCGACACUCAUGAGGCUGCAGUUACGUGUGCUAAAAGCAUUAACAAUUCAGAGUUAGGUGAAGGAGACAACAAGGUGUGUUGGCUGGUAACAGUUAUUUCAAAAUUAGACAUUACCGAUGAAAGUAUUUUAUGUAUUGGCAUUUGUUGGACAUGAAUUUAUGAAUAAUCAUCGUCACUUUUAGGCGAAAGUCAGGGCGAGGUUAUCAAGACCGCUCCAGAGGGGUAAAGGAAAACAUGUUGGGCGAGGAGAUUAUCGAUCUUCUAGGGGGGUUGGACGAGUUGUUAGAGGUUCAUGGGGUCACCCAGCACCACGCCCUCUCCCUCCUAUGCGUAGUGGGUUAAGGGGAGUUGGAAGUCGAAUCCCACCAGCCAGUGUAAAGAGGCCUGUUGCGCUAAGAGAUAGACGCCAUGUGAUGUCAUCUUAUCCACAAAGAGGCAGGCCUUUGCCUCCUCCAUCUAGGUCCUAUGACAGGAGGCCACCUGGUAUGCAAUAUUUUAAUUUAUAAUGGCUAAUGGGUUGUGUGACAACUUUUAUCUUGUGAAUAAUAAUAUUCCUAUACUCUUUCUAACAGUUCCUGCGUACCCAAAGAGUAGCUUCAGGAGGGAAUAUAGCAGGCAUGAGGACCUUCCUCCUCCAAGGAGUAGAGCAGCCCCUGAUUAUGGAUCAAGGGCUGUUCCAGAAAGACGCCAAUCGUACAGAGAUGAUUACGCUCAGCGUGGUCCUGCCUACUCUGAUCCACCAAGAAGUACAUCUCGUACAACAGGAAGGAGAGCUUAUGUUGAUGAAGGUUACGGACAGCGGUAUGAAAGGCAUCCUCCCCCUCCUCCUCCUCCAAGUUACCGUGAAGGUCGUGCUCGUGAUUAUGACACUAUUUCUGGUUCAAAACGUGCCUACUCUGCACUGGUUAGUGUUAAUGACGUCAUUUUCUAUAGCUGGAAAUGUAAUUUACUUGGUUUUCUCUGGUAGGAUAUGAAAUAGGGCUUACAUUCUUCUUCCAUGUGUUCUAGGAUGAUGUUCCUCCCCGUUAUGCUGAUGCGGGCAUCCGCCAAUCAAGGGCACGGUUAGACUAUGAGUAUGAAAGUGGUUCGUCUCAAUAUGGUGAUGGCUAUAGUGACAGGUUUGUUCCUUGAAUUGUAACAUUAACUUUUUAUUAUCUCGUGUGGAUGCAGCAACUUACCUUUUGUUGUGUAUGAUAGACUUGGGAGAUCUAAUAUGGGAUAUGGAAGCAGCAGAACAAGUCAGGAUUCUCAUGGACUAUACAGCAGUCGUCAGGGCAUGGGCUAUGGAGGAGGUGCGAUUGUAAUUUCUGGUUAUCUGAUAGAUAGUAGUUUUAUUGUUGAAACCAUAGAAUUAAGGGUCUUAAGGUUUUUUAAUUUCUUUUUCAGGUUCUUAUGGUGGUAGUGACGUUGGUGGAAUGUACUCAUCCAGCUAUGGUGGUGAUUAUAUCUCUCGUGGCAGUGACGUAUGCACCUAAUCUGAUUUGAUUAAAUGAAAAUAAUAGGUGUUCCAUUUAGCUGUCUCAUAUAUCAUUAUAUCUUGAUUCUCUAUUGUAGGUUGGAGGUAGCUCUUACUCAUCAAUGUACUCUGGCCGUGGUGCGGGUGGAAGCAGUUAUAUGGGUUCAGGUGGUUCUGGCUCAUACUAUUGAGGUAAUUUAGAUUGUUGUGUUUUUCAUGUUUUGUUAAGUUUCAUGUGUGUGUAAUUAUGAGAGCGAUGCGUGUGUCAUUAUUACUAUUUUCCGGCUGGAGAUUUAUUUUCUUCCGAAGGCACGACAUCUCGUCUUUGGCUCUAAGAGGUCAUUGGUGAAAACAGAGCAAUAUAUGGUUACAAGUGAAUUUGUCUAUGGAACAGAUCUGACAUGAUGAAGAGGAUGCUGUGGGAUGUGGACUGUAUGAAGCUUUUUACCAUUAUGAUGCCUAGAGUUAUGGACACAGAAUUUCCCUAAGAACCUAUGUAUGUGCUGAGGAGCCGCCCUCUUAGAUUUCCAGAGAUUGGAUAUUGUGCCAGGCUGUAGUUAUUUUGCUGCAAGGAAACUCAAGAUAUUCGGAGAUGCAAGUGCUUAGUUUAUGACGUGUCUUCUACUUCAUCUACUAGAAGAACUCCACCUGACGGAAAAUUUGGAGUCCUGCUGCAUCCUUUGUUCGUAUGAAUAGAUAAGACUAUAACAAGAGAAAGAGGAUUUUCUUAAUGUGAUUAUAAGGUAUUUUGGAUAUUUUUAAUGCUGAAUCCUUUGGAAAGGUUUGAAUAAUAAAAGCCGUUUUGGCCGUUUUAGAUCGCUUAAUCAAUUCAGUUCCAUAUCGUUGAGUGGGUUAUCACGGAACUGAAGGCUAUAAGGAAAGAUUCAGCUUGCUUGGAAUUGUACGAGAUUGUGGUCCAAAAAGGUAGACCUGGAAUCUGUUGCCUGGUGUGUACAGUUUUAGUUACCGCGUGAUUUAAAUUUGCAUUUUUGACAUAUAUAUUGAUAUUUAAGGAAACAUAUUGGGAAAUUACAAAGAAGAAUGAGUAGGACUCUAGUUCAUAAAAUUAUCUUACAUUGCUUGCUAAAAUCUCGAUUGAAGUAUUAUUCUUAAGUUCCUUGCAACCUCUACCAAGAACUGUGAGAGUCACCUGAGAGCAAAAGUAGGACUGAAAAACACUGAAAGAACACUCUUGCUACUGUUAUCUGGAUUGCAGAAAGUCGGUAUUUGUAAAGAAGGGAUGCAAUUGGCAAGUAUUCCACUUUGUAGAAGCACGUCUUAAUGUGGAAUAUCCCAUACUAAGUGUGGGUGGAUCACUUUGGCACGUUCACGGAGUCUAAAAGUUGGUUGUAUCUUUACGAGCAAUUCUCGCAGAUUAAAAGCUUGUGGAACUUGGAGGUAACUAGUACCUGAGUUGAGUCCUUGUCCUUGUAUUGUUCAUUAGGGCUUGUUAUGGUCAAGAUAGCUUAAAUCUUCUCAAAUCCUUUCGAUCAACUCAUUUUGAUUGCUUUAGCGUAUCCAAGGACUAGUUGCUGGUUGGAAGUUGUUUCACUUGAGCGGUUUUACUUUGAUAUGCUUUUGAUACAUGCCAGUAUCCUAUCGAUGUUCGGAUGCAACUGAAUGCUGGAUUGAAUUUUAAUGGGGUGCCAUAUACUUUUUGUUAUUCGUGUUCACUAGUGAAAUACGACAACCUGAUUGUGUGGAAAACCUAGACAGUCCUCGUUGUAAUGGGCAACGUAUUGUAUUUGGUAUAAAAUUUGCAGGACUCUCUCUCUAUCUCUCUCUCUCUCUCUCUCUCUCUCUCUCUCUCUCUCUCUAGAUUGGGAUUGGGAUUGUGAUUGUGAUUGUUCUAAAGGAAGAAUGGUUGGAUGUGUUUUUUUGUACAGGUAAAAUAAGAAUUUAAUGAAUGAAACCUAAAUACCGCGCCUUCUGGUGCGAGUCAUCCAGUAAAAUGAGAAAUUCAUUGUCAUUGUAAAACUGAAGGACGUUAAACAUACUAGUCGUAUAUAAACCACAAUUUUUGCGCGUCUUGUACGCUUAUCUAGUUCUAUUUCGAAAUUUUGUAGUCAAGUUUGUAAUCGCUUCUAUUUUUGGAUUGUCCUCUUGGAAACCUUAACAAACCUUCGAUGGCUUAAUGUAGAGCAGCAAUUAAGAUUUGGUAAUAAACACUCCUGCUUGGGUUUUAGACGUAGGAAAAAGAACUGCUUUAAACAAUUGAAAAAAAAAGUAUUUAAGUAACAAUCUCUAAAUCGAACCUAAGAUCUCUCACUUACAAGUGAAAAGGAAUAUCACUAGACCGUAGUACUAAGGGACUGUUAUCUUAGAUGCAAAGCGUUCAUCUUCUAUAUAUAGGGAGCACACCAGUUUUGUGAAGCUUUUAUAAUAGGAAGCUUUAUAUAUAGAGAUAAAAACUUUCAUUAUAUUUUAAGGAAUUCCAUUAGUUUUUAAAUAUGUCAAAGAGAGACAAAAAUAUAAAAAUGACUAAAGCGUAGCCCAAAAACAUGGAAACAAUAUUUUAAAAUACCAGUCAUACCCCUAAGGCUUUAGGAUUGUUAAAAGAACCUAGCCUUCACAACUCCAACAAAACUAAUUGUGCAGUAAGCUCAAUCCAUCAUCAACUAUUUCUGCAGAAUUAGUUCAACCUGUCCUUAACAAUUUUUGCAGAAUCAGUUCCAUCUAUCCCAACCAUUUUUGUAGAAUCAGUUCAAUCACUCUUUGACCAUUUUUGCAAAUUUGUUCAACCCUUCAUCGAUUAUUUUUGCAGAAUCAAUUCAAUCGGUAUUCAACAAUUUUUGCAGAAUUAGUCACCCAUCCUCGAUUAUUUUUACAAAAUCAGUUCAACCCGUCAUCGACCAUUUUUGCAGAAUCAAUUUAAUUAGUCUUCAAUUAUUUUUGCAGAAUCAGUUCAACUUGUCAUUGAUCAUUUUUGCAGAAUUAGUUCAAUCAGUCAUCGACUAUUUUUGCAGAAUCAGUUCUACCCGUCUUCGAUUAUUUUUACAUAAUCAAUUUCACUUGUCUUCGACCAUUUUUGCAAAAUCAGUUCAACUGGGUCGACGUCUGCUACUUCAAGAUUAAGGACUUGGCCGAGAAGUUUGCCAUCCUUCACUUUGGUAUUUGCCCCUUUCGUUGGGACUUCUUUAGGGGUUCUUGAUUGCUCAUCCAUAUGGGUCUUUUGCUUCUCCUUUCUGGUUUUUUGUUUCUGCUCUGUAUAACUGUCAAUAAAGUGAAGCAGAAAAUAAAGUACAAAAAUUUAGGAAUUUGCACCUGCAACACGACUCAGACAUCGAAUCAAUGAAAGAAGAGAGAAAUUAGAACAAAAUUGAAUUGGGUGUUGGAGGCUUCUCGUCGAUUGCCAAUCUUUCAAGCUCUGCUCCAACUUCCUCUUCGGCCUAAUAUUAAGAGAGGAAGAAAGAGAAGGGAGGAACAGAUGAAGAGAUGGAAUUGUGAAAAGACUUUACCACUAUAAAUAGCACUUUUGUAACUGACACUCUAAAAAGAAAAAGACUAAUGUCAUCUUUUACAUGUAUUAACUUUUAUCCCUCUUAAAAUGUUUAAAAAAUAUUAUCUCAAUUUAAAAUUAACUUUCCAUAUGUGGACUAAACUUGUGAUUUUCGAAUUGCGUCUAACUUUUUCAUUUAUAAUUUUCCUAACUUAAAAGUUUGAAAUAUCAAAUUUACACAUGCAUUUGCCAAUGUAAAUAAUUUUCGAAGUGCCUCACGUGCCCUGCCCACUGCCCAAGUGUUAUACAAAUUAUUUUCCAUUUUUGACCUAGCUGGGAUCAACAGUGUUUUCAUCAUAUGACUAAGCUGUAAUUUACAAUAUUUUCUUAACAAAACUAAUGAAAAAAGUUUGAAAACUUUGCGUUUUAAUGAUAACGACAAAAUAAAGGGUAAAGUGAAUAGUACCAGAAUUGACUUUAAAAAGUGUACUUUAACGAAAAACUCCUAAUACUGUUCAUUUUUUAUACUUUUUAUACUUAAUUUUGUAUUAAGAUAGCAGUUUUUAAACAUUUCAAGAAAAAAUAAAACUUAAUACAUGUGUAAGAUGAUAUUAUUGGUUUUAUUUUUCUUUGAAGUGUGAGUUAACAAAAUGGCCUUUAUACAAUAAAUCAACCGUUGAGAUUUAAUUCUAGCAAAACAAUUGCAAACUCCAUCAUGCCAACCAAAAAGCUCCACCGCUUCCCUCUGCCAUCUUAUCCACUCAUAUGUUCCAUGGCUGCUUCUGCAUCAACCCAAAUGCUCUGUCCUCUUCCACCAUCCAUGUGGGUUCAUCGCCAUCUGAUAACCAGUCAGAAAAAUUGGUUGGUUUCUGACCUAUUAUCAUUUUAUUUCCUCUAAAUAGUAAAUUUAUUAAUUUUGUAAAAAAAAAGAGGAAAUUUUAACGAAAAAAAACUCUCGGUAAUGUCCACUCUAAUGAAAAAUUAUAUUUUUACACUAAAAAGUCAAUCAUAUACUAUUCAUUUUACCCUUUAUUUUGUUUUUAUCAUUAAAACUCAAAGUUUUUAAUCUCUUUUCAUUAGUUUUCAUUUUAAAGAAAGCUUUAAUUUUUUAUCAAACGAUAGAUUUUGUUAGUAAGUUAAUUAUUUUUCAAAAUAUAAUAAUAAAGCAUAAUAAUAUCUAAACUAAAUAAAAUUAAAACCAAAAACAAAAAGGUAAAAUAAUAUAAAAGAACCAUAUAAUGAAGGGUUGAUCUUCCCAAUUCCCAACAACAUAAAAGUUAUAGCUUAUUUCAAACUAUACCCCUAAUGUUUGGGGUCAAUUACAAAAAGGACUCCUCUUUUCAAUUUACUACUUAAGAUUCACAAACAAAUAAAAAUAAAAAAAAUUAAUACUUAAGGUUGUAAAGUUUUGGGGAACUGCCAAAUUAGGGCUAUAAAAUCUCCAAUUUUGGAGUCAUAUUGAAUCAUGCAAUAUUAUUUUGAAGCCAAUUUGAUUCUAGUAUGCCUUAUAAAGUAACGUAGGUGGUGUAUUUCAACAGUUCAAAGAGACAUGUGGUAAAAAAUAAAAAUUAAAAGUUCAAGUGGUAUUGUAGACAUUGAAAUUUUGGUGGCAUAAAUGUUAGCGCUUGCAUUAAGAUUACAUUUGUAAACAUUGAAAUUUUAGUGAAAUAAAUGUUGACCAUUGUGUUAAAACUACAACCUUCAUCCAAAUUCACCUACAACCCCCACCCAAAUUCACCUACAACAACCAAUCCAAAUUCACCUACAACCUCCACCCAAAUUCACCUACAACAAUCCAUCCAAAUUCACCUACAACCUCAACCCAAAUUCACCUACAACAAUCCACCAAUUCACCUACAACAUACACCAAAACAAAUGGAUGGUGGUGGUUCAUUCUCAAGGCCUAUAAAUAGGCUCCUCCAUCAAAGAAUCAAAGGAGGAUUUUAGAUACACUUUCUCUACUCCCAAAUUGGAAGAGAAAUCACACCACACCAAAGCCUUGAAGCCUCGAAACUCUGAAGCUCUCAAGUAAAUCCCGAAGGAUCAAGAAAGCCCUAUCUGUUCUUCGUGAAAUCCUCCUUCAAGAUCAAGCUCCAACGCCCCUUGAAGAACUUCCACCCAUUCAAGAUCAAGCCCCGACGGCCCUUGAAGAAGGUGUUCAUCAUUCAUCAACUGUUCGUCCAAGAUCAAGCCUCGACGGCCCUUGGAUCAACAACACUACAUCUACACGUUUCAAAGAUAGAAUCAGAGGAUAAAUUUGUAGAAGAGAUUGUAACCCCUAAAUCAUUAAUACAAAUAUUAUUUUGGACACGUGUUCUUGUCUCUUUCGUUUCAGGAAUUUCCGUGUUUACAAAUUUGGCACGCCCGGUGGGACAGUCUCUACCUCUCAUCUCUAUCUUUGAAUCCGCAACAAGCACAAAUGGCGUCAAGGAAGGCCCAAGUUGUUCUCGCUGCCAAUGCAAGAAACAAGAGCGUCAUCACGACAGGGGGCAUCACUUCAGGCAUCAUAACUCGAAGUAAGGCAAAAGCUCUUUCCGCCGCCUCUUCCGCCCCUUCAUCAACUCCGCCGAAGGCACAAGAGCACCCGAGGUUCGAACCGGUGAUCACCCUGGCCUCGCUCAGGGCGCCAAGAGAGGAAAGCCAGAGGAAGUACUCUGAAUCCUUACUUUCCGAUGCCGACUCGAGCAGCGGCAUAGCUAUGCAAGUCAUGGUUACCGGAACAACUUCAAUUGAGGAGCAGCUGGCUCAGAUGAACGAAGCAAUCGCAAAGCUCACAAGGACUGUGGAGGAAAAAGACCUGCAAAUCGCAGCACUUGUUAACCAACUAGAUGCAAAGCCCGAUGAGAAAGCCAGGCAAGGGGAUAAUCCGGUAAAGAAGGAAAACGACGAGGAUGAGGAACCUCCAGUGGAGAACGUCGAAGAGACGCUGAAGCUAGACCAAGCGGCGACACUCAUGGGGUCUCUCUCUCUAUCCAGCAGCUGCAGGAGAUGAUCGCCAACACCAUCAAGGCGCAGUAUGAAGGAAGCUCACAUGAUUCCGUACUAUACUCAAAGCCCUACUCCAAGAAGAUUGACGCUUUGAAGAUGCCAAAGGGCUAUCAACCACCAAAGUUUAUGCAGUUCGAUGGAAAGGGGAACCCGAAGCAACAUAUCGCCCACUUCAUUGAAACCUGCAGCAAUGCUGGAACAGAGGGAGACUACCUCGUCAAGCAGUUCGUGCGCUCGCUGAAAAGCAACGCCUUUGACUGGUACACCGACCUCGAGCCCGAGUCUAUCAGCAGUUGGGAUCAGCUAGAAAAGGAAUUCCUCAACCGUUUCUACAGCACGCGCCGCACCGUAAGCAUGCUGGAGCUGACCAGUACGAAACAGUGGAAGGAGGAACCCGUCGUCGACUACAUCAAUAGAUGGCGUUCAUUAAGUCUGGAUUGCAAAGAUCGGCUCUCUGAAACCUCUGCCAUUGAGAUGUGUGUUCAAGGCAUGCACUGGGGGUUACAUUACAUUCUCCAAGGCAUAAAACCAAGAACGUUUGAGGAGCUGGCAACGCGCUCCCACGACAUGGAGCUGAGUAUCGCCAAUCACGGAAAGAAUGAGCCGAUCACCCACUUCAAGAAGGAUAAGGUGUUCGCCCCGAGUGUGGACAAGACCGGAAAAAAGCCUGCAAAGGAAACUUUUACUGUCAACACUACCCCCAUCAAAACCCCAUCCGCGCCUAUCAAGACCACCUCUGCACCUAUCAAGAUUUCCUCCAAGACCAAGGCAAAGGAGACAAAAAGAAGUGAGCCUCCUCGCACCCAAGACAAGUAUAAAAACACCUUGAGAGAGUUGGAGCAAAAGACGUACCCUUUUCCUGACUCAGACGUGGAUGCAAUGUGUUAGAUGACUUGCUGGAAAAGAAGGUAAUUGAGUUACCAGAGUGCAAGCGCCCUGAAGAAAUGAAUCGAACGAACGAUCCUAGGUACUGCAAGUACCAUCGUAUCGUAAGCCAUCAUGUGGGCAAAUGCUUCGUCCUCAAAGAACUCAUUAUGAAGCUAGCGCAACAAGGGAGAAUCGAGCUAGACCUUGAGGACACAGCCGCAACACAUACUACUACAGUGGCGUUCGGAUCCUUCGAUCCCGUGCCUCUCCAAACGACACCCAACCAUUCCUAUCAAUGUGCAAGCUACACGGCGCCUUCUACACAACCAUCGCCGGGGGCAAACGAACAAGAUGCGUAUACCGAUGAUGAUGAAGGAUGGACAUUGGUGACCUACAAAAAAACAAAGAAACCAAAACCACAAGCCACAAGACCAAAGGUGGAACAAGUGAGAAAACACCGUCGCCGCAACAGUAGGAAGCCUAAAAGAAACGUAAAAGUCGAUAAGCCAACGUAUGCUGGGGAACCCGUGGAGCAAGAGCCACGCAUUCCUGUCUCCUUGCGCGAGUACUUCCCGAAUGACUUCUUCCAACAGUGCACCAUCGCUGCAUGCCAUAUGGUCGAAGUAGAAACGGAAGAACCUUCAAAAAGCAAAGAUACCACCACUGAGGGAGAAAAAACUCUCACGCUCGAAGAAGGUCUGCCAACACACUUUAGCAUUGAGGAAGCGCUACGAUUACCAAAGAAGAUGCGAAUAGCAUUAGCAGCGGCCUUGGAAAGUCCCAAUGAACAUGAAGUGCAAGAAAGCAAAGAACGAAGACUUGAAGCUUCGGCCACAUGAAUGUGCCACAUGUUGUGCCAUAGAGGACGCAAUCCAUUUCACCGACGAAGACUUGCUGCUAGGAUCCAAGCCUCACAACCGUCCUCUCUUCGUCUCUGGGUAUGUAAAGGAGCACACAAAGUCAACCGCAUGCUUGUGGAUGGUGGAUCAGCCAUAAACAUCAUGCCAAAGUCGACAAUGAUUACAAUCGGCAUCAAGGCGGAUGAACUGUCCCUAAGUCGUCUACUAAUCCAAGGUUUUAAUCAAGGAGGACAAAAGAGCGAUGGGCAUGAUCCGAGUGGAGAUGACUAUUGGCGAACUCAAGUCGAGCACGAUAUUCCACGUGAUUGAUGCAAGAACUUCCUACGGCUUACUCUUAGGAAGGCCUUGGAUCCAUGCGAAUGGAGUAGUACCGUCCACCCUUCACCAAUGCUUAAAAUUCUACCGAGAAGGAGUGAAGGUGAUCUAUGGCGACACCAAACCAUUCACUGAAGCCGAAUCACAUUUCGCAGACGCCAAGUUCUACAUGGAUGAAGACAUGGUGCCCGAAGCUCUUCCAAAAGAGAUCAAAUCCACGGGCAAAGCAACACCUAAAAAAGCAGGAACGACAAGCCAUGCCCAAGAAGCAAGAAGAAGAAGUUACGCCGUCUUCAAGCAAGAACGAUAAUGAGCCGGCUAAACGUGCAACAACAAAGGAGAGUAAGACGCCCUCAAAUGGACCAAACACACCCGUCUUCCGAUACAUCCCGAUGUCGAGAAGAAAGAAUGGUCAAUCCCCGUUCGAAACUGGAGCAAACAAAGCCGAUGCACAGAGGUAUAUGGAUAAUGUAAAGUUGCUCAAGACGAAUGCAGUUUUACCUCUGACGCAGCUAGGCGGCACUAAGGUCGCAAGACUACCACAAGGCUUCAUAAAAGCUCUACCAAAGGGGGUGGAACCAAGCUUUCUCCCAACCCAGAGGACCGAAGAAGGUUUUGAUCCAAACGCCUAUAAACUCAUGUCGAAAGCUGGCUACGACUUUGCUUCUUCUUCGAAUCAUGGAAAGAAGGUUUCAAACACCGUUAACAAUAAAGAAACGUGACCUCACCGAGACUCAAAGGAAGUUGAAGAAGCACGGUUACGGAGUUGAUAACAACAAAAGCUGGACUAGGCUUCACACCAAACGCACCCGUGAAGAUUUCAAGCAAAGCGAAAAAUGCUAGCACUCAACACAUCAGCGUGAGUAAUGAACAAGAUCAUGAUGAGCCUAAAUCCACCCCUUGGACGUCAGUCUUCGAUAGGAUGAAUCGUUCAAAACCCAGAAUGUCAGCAUUUAACCGCAUUGGUGGUCAAAACCGAACCUCCGUCUUCAAGAGACUUAACAUGCUAGCAUCCCAAAGCUCUGUUUUUGAAAGGUUGUCAAAACCUAAGAAGCAAAGCAACACGACUAGCUCUCUUCCUCGUCAGUCAGCUUUGGAAAGACUUGAAGACAACAAGAAGUUUUCUAGAAAUAGGAAGACCACGUCAAAGGAAGAAAAGCUCGUCAUGAUAGCAGAAAAAUGUGAUAUUCGAAGCUCAAUUCCUUCAAGGAUGAAGCGCCAAGCAAUCUUUGGAGGUGGACACAAAUGGACCACUAAAAGUAAGAAGGCGCACCAUCAUCCACACUGGACAAUCUUCAUGCCGACCAGCCCAAGAGGACGACACCGAAGAGGAAUUCCAAGAUGUCUUCCACAUCACGAUCCAAGAAAGCGAAGAAGAAUGAGAUCCCCGAAGAAGGUGUCACUGCUGCGCCACCACAACUGGAGGAUGGGGGGCAAUCCACAGUCGAUGAUCUCAAGGAACUCAAACUUAGGCAAAGAGGAGCAGAGACCUAUCUUCGUGAGUGCGUUGCUAAGUGCGGACGAGGUAGACGAGUAUUACCAACUGUUAUCAGAGUACAAAGACGUCUUUGCUUGGACUUACAAGGAAAUGCCCGGCCUUGACCCUGUCAUCGCUGUACAUCAUCUUGCAGUUAAGCCCGGAACGAGACCAAUAAAGCAAACUCAAAGGCGCUAUCGAUCCGAGCUCAUUCCACAAAUUGAGGUAGAGAUUGACAAGCUAAUCGAAGCAGGCUUCAUUCGAGAGGUGCAAUACCCUAAGUGGAUCUCCAACAUCGUCAUCGUCCUUAAGAAAUCUGGACAAAUACGUGUUUGUGUAGACUUUCGGGACCUCAAUGACGCUUGCCCGAAAGAUGACUUUCCCUUGCCGAUCAUCGAAAUCAUGGUGGACGCGACCACUGGCCAUGAGGCACUGUCAUUUAUGGACGGCUCUUCUGGAUACAAUCAAAUUCGUAUGGCUCUCGAAGAUGAGGAACUAACAGCAUUCCGCACUCCAAAAGGUAUCUACUGCUACAAGGUGAUGCCCUUUGGUCUAAAGAACGCUGGAGCCACAUAUCAGCGAGCAAUGCAGAAAAUCUUCAAUGACAUGCUACACAAAAACGUAGAAUGUUAUGUAGACGAUGUGGUGGUCAAAACAAAGAAAAGAUCAGAUCACUUGAAGGAUUUGCGAGUAGUGUUCGAAAGGCUGCGAAAAUACAACCUUGAACCGUUAAAAUGUGCAUUUGGCGUCACCUCAGGAAAGUUUCUCGGCUUCGUUGUCAAGCACCGUGGCAUUGAAGUGGACCAAUCAAAGAUCAAGGCCAUUCGAAACAAUGCCCGAGCCAAGAAACCUGCACGAGCUGAAAAGUCUACAAGGACGACUAGCCUUCAUCAGACGCUUCAUCUCCAACCUUGCAGGGCGUUGUCAACCGUUUAGUCGACUCAUGAAAAAGGAUGUCCCGUUCGUAUGGGACGAAGCGUGCCACAACGCUUUUGAAAGCAUAAAAAAAUAUUUAUCAAGUCCACCUGUCCUGGGGGCGCCUGUGCCCGGGAAACCACUCAUAUUGUACAUCGCCGCUCAGGAAAGUUCAGUGGGAGCACUCUUGGCACAGGAAAAUGAAUUCCAGAAAGAAGGAGCGCUUUACUACUUGAGUCGAACACUCACCGGCGCUGAGUUGAACUACUCCCCAAUAGAAAAAAUGUGCCUUGCCUUGGUGUUUGCCAUCCAGAAGCUUAGACAUUACAUGCAUGCUUACACCAUCCACUUGGUUGCUAAAGCUGACCCGGUUAAAUACGUCAUGUCCAAGCCAGUUUUGACAGGGCGACUAGCUAAAUGGGCGUUGAUUCUCAAUCAAUACGAGAUCAUUUACGUCCCAGCUAAAGCCGUCAAGGGACAAGCAUUUAGCAGACUUCCUUGCCGAUCAUCCAAUCCCAGCCGAUUGGAAAAUCUCAGACGACUUGCCUGACGAGGAGGGUAUUCUACAUUGACAUAUUCCCGAGAUGGACGAUGUUCUUCGACGGAUCUGCACGAGCAGACGGAGCGGGGGCAGGAGUAGUAUUCAUGUCGCCACAAAGGCAAAUACUACCUUAUUCAUUCCAACUAAGCGAAUUGUGCUCCAACAACGUCGCUGAGUACCAAGCACUAAUCAUCGGGCUCCAAAUGGCGAUCAACAUGGAAAAUCACAACCCUCGAGGUAUAUGGCGACUCCAAGCUCAUAAUUAGUCAACUCUUGACUGAAUAUGAGGUGAGAAAAGACGAUCUCGUCCCGUACUUCCGACUGGCAACUCAGCUGCUACAAAAGUUCGAGGCCGUAACACUAGAACAUGUGCCGAGAAAAGAAAAUCAAAUGGCAGACGCUCUCGCUAACCUAGCCUCGAGUAUGACACACUAGGAGAAGACGAAGCGGCAGACGUGCCAGUUUGCCAAAGAUGGGUCAUCCCCCUCGCCACCGAAAUGCUACUAGAUGAUACAAAUGUCAUCUCGGUACUUCCAGUCGAUGUUGAAGAAUGGAGACAACCAUUGAUUGACUACUUAGAGUAUGGAAAACUUCCAAAUGAUCCUAGACACCGCUCUGAAAUACGUCGACGAGCACCUCGCUUCCUCUACUACAAAGAAAACACUCUACCGGCGCUCUUUUCGAAGGAGUACUUCUGAGAUGCCUAGGUGAGGAAGAAGCCAAUCAAGCCAUGGAAGAAGCGCACUCAGGCGUGUGCGGGGCGCAUCAAUCUGGACCAAAGCUACAUUUUCCAGCUCAAAAGAAUGGGUUACUACUGGCCAAGUAUGGUGAAGGAUUGCCUGGAACAUGCCAAAAGGUGCCAAGCUUGCCAAUUCCACGCCAACUUCAUACAUCAACCACCUGAACCAUUACACCCUACAACUGCUUCGUGGCCAUUCGAUGCAUGGGGACUGGACGUCGUGGGACCAAUUACUCCAAAGUCAUCUGCAGGAGAAGCCUACAUCCUAGCUGCAACAGAUUACUUUUCCAAGUGGGCUGAAGCCAUACCCCUAAGGGAAGUAAAAAAGGAAACUGUUGUCCGUUUCAUCAAAGAACAUAUCAUCCACAGAUAUGGUGUGCCUCGUUACAUUAAUCACGGACAAUGGAAAACAGUUCUCCAACCGACUUGUAGACGAGCUCUGUGAGAAAUACAAGUUCAAGCAGCAUAAGUCUUCCAUGUAUCAUGCUCCGGCCAACGGUCUAGCGGAAGCAUUCAACAACAAAACAUUGUGCAACCUCUUAAAGAAGGUGAUCGGCCGAACAAAGAGGGACUGGCAUGAAAGAAUAAGCGAAGCACUUUGGGCAAUAUAGGACGACGCAUAGGACUCCUACCCAAGCUACCCCUUAUUCUCUCGUAUAUGGCGUGGAAGCUGUUUUACCGCUAGAAAGUCAAAUCCCUCACACUUAGGAUGGCUAUACAAGAAGGUUUGACUGAUGAAGAGAAUGCAAAGUUGCGCCUUCAAGAGUUGGAAUCACUUGACGAAAGAAGGCUCGAAGCUCAACAACACCUGGAAUGCUACCAAGCACGGCUAUCCAAGGCAUUCAACAAGAAGGUCCGCCCAAGGUCUUUCCAAACUGGAGAUCUCGUCCUUGCAUUACGAAGGCCUAUCAUCACAACUCACAAGACAAAAAGCAAGUUCACAUCAAAGUGGGAUGGACCGUACGUAAUACAAGAGGUCUACAUAAGCGGCGCCUACUUAAUCAUGGCAGAGGACGGCUUGAAGAUCGGUCCCAUCAAUGGCAGAUUCUUGAAGCGUUACUACCCCUAAAAAGCGACGACCAGACUCCUUGCCUGCAUGAGCCUAAACUGCACACGGCACAAAGCUCCUGGCCCGCAAGAGCAUAAACUGUGUACGGCAAAAUCAUCAUCAAAAUCACUAUAAAAAAAAAAUAAAUAAAUUCAUCGCUCAUUUGAACUACGUUGUGACUUGAUCCCUCAUCAACCGGGGGUACGUAGGCAACUUGAAACUUAAAAAAAACUUCAAGUACAGUCACAUCAUCAACAAAAACACAAAUACUUUGAAGAAAUAAAAGAGCAAAUGCAAGAAGGCGAAUACUUCAAAAAAAAAAAAAAAAAAAAAAAAAAAAAAAAAAAAAAAAAAAAAAAAAAAAAAAAAAAAAGAGAAAAACUACUACGGAGGCGAUCUUGAAGCAAGCCUUCCAAAGUCUUCAAAGUCUCCACCUCGGUCGGAGACAAGGUGGGCAAAUCCAUAGCCAGGCCUUUCUCUUGUUCUAGACGUGAGGUCUCCUCAUGGUGCUGAGAAAGUGUAGCUCUCUGUUCUGCAAGAACUUUUUCAAGUUGUGAUGCUUGAGUUCCCAACUGCUCUCGCUCUCGUACCAACGCAUCCAGACGCACCUGGACGGAAGCUAAAGAAGCCUCUGUGACUUGAUAAUCUCCCGAAGCAACUUGCUGAGAAGACCGGACUCUCGGGCCAAGGACAAGUCUAUCGCUGCAAGCUGUUGAGCUCGAUCAUCUGGGCUCAAUUUCUUCAAGGAAAUAGCGCGCAAGGAAGAAUACUCAGUGGAGGCGGCCAUAAGUUCGGCAAUCUUGUUCCUCAAAGACGAAGAAUCAACAUUAAGGUUGUCAAUCGUAGAAACAAGCUUCGACAAAUCUUCUUCGAGCAAUGAAAGGUCUUCCAGCGAACACUUCGAAAUCCUACUCUCAAUAUGGCUUUUUGACAUCCAAGGCAGCACGAAGUUUGAGGCGAUGGAUAAAUUGCUCGGUACCAUUAAGGUUCGGCCCUCUCAAAGAGAUCGCAGAACUAGCUGGCAAAGGUGCUGGACGUAUGAUGGACUCUUGCACGCCUUCACCUACACACGGCAGGCUUGGAAGAUUGGGCGAAUUUUGAACGAGCUCUUCACCGGGCGGAUCCCCGAUCUCCCCGUCUGUAAGCAGAUCGCCUCCAAGUAGCAUAUCCAUAUAGGAGUGAACACCCGCGGCGGCCAAAUCAAAAGGACAAGAAGGCCCCAACCUAAAGAAGACGAAGAGAGGUGUUAGAAGCAAAAGCUGAAAUAAGAAUAAGAAGUCAUGAGAGAGAAAGAAAAUGCAUACAUCUUUCUCUAGAGACACACGACCAUCGGAUUGGGGAGGCCUAAACACUUCUUUCUUUUUAUGACGAAAAUUGACAUCGCUGUCAACCUGAGCAACUUCAAGUGGUCGUUUGUUUAAAACUUGUUGGCGCUGCCGCAAAACAAGUCCAUCUUCAUACGAAUCAACCUCGUCACCCGCCUCUUCAGAAGCAUCCAAAUGGUGAGGAGAUGAGCACAAACGUUGACGGACUAAAGCCACAGGUCUGUCUUGCAAGGGAGUUGCACUCACACAAUCAAAAGGUACCAGCUGCAUAGGAGUCGCAAACUGCCUUCUUUCAACGCAUCGUGGCGUGAAUGGGAAGAAUUAUUACCACUUGCCAUCCCCAAAUCCUCAUGAUGUACCUUUGACCACCAAUGCGCGUAAACACGAGUCACUGGAUUACCCCUGAACUCGUCCUUGGCUGGCAGGGUGAUAUAAGCAUUCGUAAAUGCACGGGUACAAGACUCCCAAUGCAUGCAUAUACACGGCUUGCAAGGAUUCUGAUUGGGCCUUUUCCUUCAGCCUGCCCGGCACAUUUUGGACAAAACCAAAUUGCCUGUAAAACGGCUAAGGAACGGUACGGCUGAACGACGCAUCGGUUUUCUUGCCGCAAAGAAACAUACGCUGAGCGAAGACUUAUGAGAUAAGACAAAUCUGAAGAGCGAAGAUGCGAAUCAUCCAUGAUGCCUCGCCGUACUGAGCCAACUCUCGCCAGGCGGUCCAUUUUUAAACCUUCACAACUUCUAAACAGUGUUUGAGCCUGCGAAUCAUCAAGACUCCUCGCAGAAAGCACACCAGAAUACUUCGUCAUUAAAGGCCCCAACUUGACUGAAGACGGAGAAGAAGGACCUGACUUGUCUAAAGUUGACGAAGAAAAAUGAGUGCCAAAAUACUCACCCAACCAACCAUACACAUAGUGGUAAGGGGAGCACCGCAGCACGAUCUUCAGUGCUUGCCAAGUUUCGAAAAUAACGUUCAAGCCGUCGUAAAUAUUGGCUAAAACUGGAAUAGCAAGACUAAAAGAUUCGCCUACAGCCAUCUUGCUAGCAACUUUGAAGACUCCGGGACGAAUGAAGUUGACAUCAUCCUUGGGGAAAACAAACUUACAGAGCCAACAAGCUAAGAGAGCGGCUAAGUAAGAUUCUUCUAAGUGCUCUGACGCCACGCCACAAUCCUCGAAUGCCUUCAACUCAGCAGAAAGUACGACGAACAGCUGGACCAAUGACACCAGACGGGUCCGAGUCCCCUUAGGCCUGGUUGUCUUGUUACGACCGCUUUUCUUCGAAGGCCUCUUGUACUUCAUGGCAUCCCAAUACCAAAAUUGGAUCCAUGAAGAGAUCUUCACGCCUGACUUACCUGGGGGCCUCUUGGAAAAGCUUAUGGUAUGCCCCAAACAAAUAACGGCAGCUUGCAGGUAAUCCUCGGCUGUUGCGAUAAGAGAAAACUCUUUCCACACUAGGAACAACCUCAUCGUAAAAUUGUCCCUGGAUUGGGCAAGCCCUCCUAUCUUAUGGAGAUCCCAAAGCGAGAUCGACAUCUCCCCUCGAGCCGUAUGAAGUGUGUGUUGGUCGCUGAACACCAAUGCUCGAAGAAUGCACGAAUGACGGAAGGAUGUCGGUCAUAACUGAACAGAGAUGCAUAUACAGCAUGAUAAAGUCCCGUGUUGGUAAGCAUAUCUUUAGAACGGCUCAAGACAUCUUCAAGCCAUUCCCAAUAAAACUCAACAAAGGCGGCUCCUCCAGUAGUCGACAAGGUGCUACUCCAAGCCAUAGCUCCGCUACGGAUACGAUCGCCAAGAAGCUCAAACGAAACCGAAUGAUUGUGUCACGAACAUGGUGCGAAUGGUUCAAGAUAAGACUCAUCGAUGUGCAUGCCUUUUUCUUUGCAUUUAGUCGAACAGAGUCUACCACAUCCCAAGGUACUUCAGAAGACCACGACUUAAUAUGCAUGGAAUUGUCUUUUGCGGGAAGGGCAAGCGCCUUGGGGCCAGGUAAGUGGCGCAUAAAGCUUUAACGUCGUUCCACUAUCCUGUGAAUCGCCUUCCUUUGCAAGAAUGGUGAUAGUGUUGUUUUUUAAAACACUUGAGAAACACCAUGACUGCAACAAAAAAGUCAGCCACAAAACUUGAGCAGGGCGGCAAAGAAGGCAGCUACAGGGCGGGUCCUUCAAAGCACGCUGCAGUGGCAGAGGAAACCAAAAUGCUACGCAAAACUCGCGGCGGAGCCCCGCUGCAGUCUCUUGCACAGCUCCACACGGCAGCGCACCACCGAGGGAAAACUGUGAUCAAAAGGCACUACACGGCAAAAACUUAGUUGCAGUCUCUUGUACAGCCCCACAACGGCAGCGCACCACCGAGGGAAAACUGUAAUCAAAAGACACUACACGGCAAAACUUCGUUGCAGUCUCUUGUACAAGAACACCCACGUCCUGCUCACCCCGCCACUAACUGCAACCACGGGCAAAAGAACCUUUGUCAAAACAACAGUACACCCAUAUUUAUAUUAUUAUAUGGACACAUUACAUAUAUAUACGUAUGUGUGUACGUGUGCACGGCUGGUGUGAUGAGACAAAUCAGCAAUCUUCAUAUAUGUGCGCGUGCGGUGAUGGAACAAAGCAAGGUCAGUGUGUGAACGUGUGUGUGUAUAUAUACACAUGACAAAGCCAUGCAAACAAAGUCUGUGUGUAUGUAUGUAUGUGAAAUGAAAGUCAAAGUUUCUGUGUGUGUGUAUAAGGCACAGCAACAAAUCCCAUAUAUAAAACAUAUAUGCGUACACAGUGAUAAUGACGGGACAAAUCAAUUUCCACAUACAUGUACAUGUGUGCACGGUAUCAAUCACAACCAACUUCCAUAUAUAUGUAUGCAUGCAGAAUGAUGGGACAGCCGCCAGCCAACUUAUAUAAUAUAUAUAUAUAUAUAUAUAUAUAUAUAUAUAUAUAUAUAUAUAUACAUGCAAAGCGACAGGACACUCAACAUAUAUAUAUAUAUAUAUAUAUAUAUAUAUAUAUAUAUAUAUAUAUAUAUAUAUAUAUAUAUAUAUAUAUAUAUAUGUACGUACAACAUGUCAAAAGCAUCUCAGGGUUAUAUAAAUAUAUAUAUAUAUAUAUAUAUAUAUAUAUAUAUAUAUAUAUAUAUAUAUAAGUGUAAGUAUGUGCGGCAUCCAAGAUGAGACAACUAAUCUCAAGGUUGUGUAUAUAUAUAUAAAUAAGUGUAAGUGUGUGCGGCUCCAGGCUAUAUAUAUAAAGGCUUGCUGUGUGCGGUUCCAGGACAUAUAUAUAUAUAAACGCCUGCUGCGUGCGGCUCUGGGACAUAUAUAUAUAUAUAUAUAUGCAUGGUGAUGGGUUAUACAUAUAAACGGACUCACGAAGUAAAAGCUGCAUCCUGCUAGCCGACUGCCUUCUUCUUCCCGUCUGCAGCACUGGUCAUCCCCUCCUCAACGCUUUGCACACCUUAAGCUCCAGCACCGAGACUCCCCUUGUCAAGCUCACUUCUGCAGCCUCAGACCACCGUCUCUGUCCAUCAAUGCGAAGCCAACCCGAACCCGUCGUUCGCCGUCAGGAUCCUCUCUGCUGCAUUUCCUUCCAGCACCGAGCUCAGUAGCAGCAAACGAGGAUCCUCCAGGAACAAUAGGCGCACUGUUAGUAGCAUGAGCAACAGAGGAUGCUACAUAAGAAAGCCCAGUCGACGAAGAUGUAGAGCUGAAAGAGGUAGCAAAAUACAGAGACUUACCAGCUAGCAGACGCGGGGAACGCAGGAAGCAGUGCACGCAGUCGUGAUCGCAGCCAGGUAGUAGCUGUGUGGUGAAUGUGCAGUGCCCUAUGUGUGUAUGUGUGUGCGUAUGCCUAUGUAUAUAUAUACAACGAUCUCAACGGUUGCAAAAGAAACGGAUCCGCAUACGAUGCAGUGACUGUGUAAACAGCAAUCCGCAUGCAGUGAAGAAUGCAGUACAAUAGCUGUUCGCAAACAAUGACCCGCGUGAAGAGAGGAGUGCAGAGAAUAAUGCAGUACAGUAGCUGUGCAAACAGUGAUCUGCGUGAAGAGAGGAGUGCAGAGAAUAAUGCAGUACGGUGACUGUCGCAAACAGUGAUCCGCGUGAAGAGAUGAACGCAGAGAAGAAUGUAGUAUAGUAGCUGUUCAAACAGUGAUCCGUGUGCAGAGAAGAACACAUGAAAAAAAAAAAAAAAAAAAAAAAAAAAAAAAAAAAAAAAAAAUGGUUGCAGUGACUGUGCAAAUAAAAAUGGUACAGAGAAGAAUACGAUGCAGCAAGGAAGACCCGUGCUCUCCACUUCGCUUCCCCUUUGAAGAAUCAUGUUCCUAGUUUCUUAAAUAUACAUAAUAAUAAAAAAAAAAAUGAUGAAAGGUGUUUGGUGCGCAACAUCCAUCAAAACAUAUGUAUACAAAUAGUGAAAUCUUGGUGUAUGGCACUACUCAAAAAAAAAAAAAAAAAAAAAAAAAAAAAAAAAAAAAAAAAAAAAAAAAAAAAAAAAAAAAAAAAAAAAAAAAAAAAAAAAAAAAUUGAAGGAAAGGUGGUGGCGACAAAAUCAUUGAAAGAUGGAAAAAUGGGAAGAAUGGUGCAUCAGGCACCAUCUAAAAGAAAGGUUAUGGGAUGACGCACAACAUCAUUUAAAAAAAA